UCUCUUUCAUUCUACACAAAAAUCAUCUCUCGGGUUUCUUUUAAGAACUCUUAAAUGAUUCAAGGCAUAAUCAAAGGCGAACCUAGCUGAAUUUAACGUAAAGAAUCUCGUUACCAUCACUGAGUCAUUUGCCUUCUUGUUAUACUAAUUUUGGAGAUUCCGUUGAAGUGAAAUCACCAUAGAAGUGUAAGAACUCAAAAAACAUAGUUAGCCUUUCAAAAAGGCAUUAUGUUUAUGCCCACAAAUACAGAUAGAUCCGGUGACAUGCCUCUUCAAUAGGGUACCUGUUUCACCUGUUAGUUGUCGCACUCCACUUCUCCGGAGUAGCUGAACAGAAGUCGAUAGGUACUGGAGUACAUGUCUUUAUCAUUUUGGGUAUGAUGGGGCCCUGUCCCAACCAAGUUAUUGAUUGUGGAGGCUUGCAUACUAGUGUCCUGUGUGUAUAUAAAUGUUGGUUAUGACUAUGUUGGCAACGGUGGUGUAUAUAUAAAAUGUUAAAGUUUCUUCCACGGU